CAGGCUUAACACAUGCAAGUCGAGCGGAGAGAGGUAGCUUGCUACUGAUCUCAGCGGCGGACGGGUGAGUAAUGCUUAGGAAUCUGCCUAUUAGUGGGGGACAACAUUUCGAAAGGAAUGCUAAUACCGCAUACGUCCUACGGGAGAAAGCAGGGGAUCUUCGGACCUUGCGCUAAUAGAUGAGCCUAAGUCGGAUUAGCUAGUUGGUGGGGUAAAGGCCUACCAAGGCGACGAUCUGUAGCGGGUCUGAGAGGAUGAUCCGCCACACUGGGACUGAGACACGGCCCAGACUCCUACGGGAGGCAGCAGUGGGGAAUAUUGGACAAUGGGCGCAAGCCUGAUCCAGCCAUGCCGCGUGUGUGAAGAAGGCCUUAUGGUUGUAAAGCACUUUAAGCGAGGAGGAGGCUACUUUAGUUAAUACCUAGAGAUAGUGGACGUUACUCGCAGAAUAAGCACCGGCUAACUCUGUGCCAGCAGCCGCGGUAAUACAGAGGGUGCAAGCGUUAAUCGGAUUUACUGGGCGUAAAGCGCGCGUAGGCGGUUAAUUAAGUCAAAUGUGAAAUCCCCGAGCUUAACUUGGGAAUUGCAUUCGAUACUGGUUAGCUAGAGUGUGGGAGAGGAUGGUAGAAUUCCAGGUGUAGCGGUGAAAUGCGUAGAGAUCUGGAGGAAUACCGAUGGCGAAGGCAGCCAUCUGGCCUAACACUGACGCUGAGGUGCGAAAGCAUGGGGAGCAAACAGGAUUAGAUACCCUGGUAGUCCAUGCCGUAAACGAUGUCUACUAGCCGUUGGGGCCUUUGAGGCUUUAGUGGCGCAGCUAACGCGAUAAGUAGACCGCCUGGAGACGCAGUCU
rnacentral:rRNA from 1 species